rnacentral:rRNA from 1 species
CUCCUCCCAAAGCGUAACGGAGGAGUACGAAGGUACGCUAGGUACGGUCGGAAAUCGUGCUGAUAGUGCAAUGGCAUAAGCGUGCUUAACUGCGAGACCGACAAGUCGAGCAGGUGCGAAAGCAGGUCAUAGUGAUCCGGUGGUUCUGUAUGGAAGGGCCAUCGCUCAACGGAUAAAAGGUACUCUGGGGAUAACAGGCUGAUACCGCCCAAGAGUUCAUAUCGACGGCGGUGUUUGGCACCUCGAUGUCGGCUCAUCUCAUCCUGGGGCUGUAGCCGGUCCCAAGGGUAUGGCUGUUCGCCAUUUAAAGAGGUACGUGAGCUGGGUUUAAAACGUCGUGAGACAGUUUGGUCCCUAUCUGCCGUGGGCGUUGGAUAUUUGAAGGGGGCUGCUCCUAGUACGAGAGGACCGGAGUGGACGAACCUCUGGUGUACCGGUUGUCACGCCAGUGGCAUCGCCGGGUAGCUAUGUUCGGAAGAGAUAACCGCUGAAAGCAUCUAAGCGGGAAACUCGCCUUAAGAUGAGAUAUCCCUGGAGGCUAGACCUCCUUGAAGGGUCGUUCGAGACCAGGACGUUGAUAGGUCAGGUGUGUAAGCGCAGUAAUGCGUUCAGCUAACUGAUACUAAUUGCCCGUAAGGCUUGAUCCUAUAACA